UACAGAGGGUGCGAGCGUUGUUCGGAAUUAUUGGGCGUAAAGGGCUCGUAGGCGGUUUGUCGCGUCGGGAGUGAAAUCCACUGGCUUAACUGGUGGCUUGCUUUCGAUACGGGCAGACUGGAGGUAUGCAGGGGAGAACGGAAUUCCUGGUGUAGCGGUGAAAUGCGCAGAUAUCAGGAGGAACACCGGUGGCGAAGGCGGAUCUCUGGGCCUGUCCUGACGCUGAGGCGCGAAAGCUAGGGGAGCGAACAGG
rnacentral:rRNA from 1 species